GACGAACGCUGGCGGCGUGCUUAACACAUGCAAGUCGAACGGAAAGGCCCUGCUGUUGUUAGGUGCUCGAGUAGCGAGCGGGUAACUAACACGUGAGUAGCCUGCCCUUGCCUUUGGGAUACCUUCAAGAGACUGGGGCAAAUACCGGAUAGGCGCUCCUGCUGCAUGGUGGGGGUUGGAAAGGUUCGGCGGUUGGGGAUGGACUCGCGACUUAUCAGCUUGUUGGUGGGGUAGUGGCUUACCAAGGCUUUGGCGGGUAGCCGGCCUGAGAGGGUGCCCGGCAAAAUGGGGCCUGGGAUACGGCCAAGACCCCUCCGGGAGGAAGCAGUGGGGAAUAUUGCCCAAUGGGCGGAAGCUGGAUGCAGCAACGCCGCGUGCGGGUUGAGGGCCUCCGGGUUGUAAACCGCUUUCGCCGGGGAGGAAGUGGGAGUGACGGUACUGGGUAAAGAAGCACCGGCUAACUACGUG
rnacentral:rRNA from 1 species